GCGGGAGCGAGUGAGCAGCCACGGAUUUUCGUUGCCGAGAGGAGAACGCGACUUCCCCGCCACGGCUCGUCGAAACAGUUUCUCAGAAUGGCAGAGAUGGCUUUGAUGGAGAGGUUGGAAAACGCUGUCAUUAGGCUUGAAUCGUUAUUGUCAGGUUCACACAGGGCUGCUGGAAUGGAAUGUGGAACUGUCAAUGGAGUCAAUGGAGAUGUAGCCCCACACGUUGAAGCCUUUGAUAGACUUGUGAAAGGGAGUGUAGCUGAGUUUCUGAGGAAUAGCAACGUCCUUGAUGGUGAUGUGAAGACACAUGCAGAAAUGGUUCGAGCAGCUUUCCAAGCACAAAGAGCAUUUCUACUGUUGACCUCACAAUAUCAGGAACCUCAGGAGCAUGAAGUGGCCAUUCUUCUAAAACCAAUAUCAGACAUGAUCCAUGAAAUCCAGAUGUUCAGAGAAAGAAAUCGAGGAAGUAACAUGUUUAAUCAUCUCUCUGCUGUCAGUGAAAGUGUUCCAGCUCUUGGAUGGAUAGCAGUCUCUCCUAAGCCAGGGCCUUAUGUCAAGGAGAUGAAUGAUGCUGCUACCUUUUAUACUAACAGGGUGUUAAAAGACUACAAACAUAGUGACUUGCGUCAUGUUGAUUGGGUGAAGUCAUUCUUGAAUAUUUGGGCAGAGCUUCAAGCAUACAUCAAAGAAUAUCAUACUACUGGCCUCACCUGGAGUAAAACUGGCCCAAUUGCCUCAGAAGCAUCUGGGCUAUCUACUGUGGCAAGAAACCAAGGCCCUCCUCCUCCUCCUCCUCCACCACCACCACCACCACCACCACCAGGACCUCCUCCUGUCUUCGAUACAGAAAAUGCAAAAGACGAUUCAACUGCAACUCGCUCAGCCUUAUUUGCCCAGUUGAACCAGGGAGAAACGAUCACCAAAGGGCUUCGCCAUGUCUCUGAUGACCAGAAGACCCAUAAGAACCCCAAUCUUCGUGCUCAAGGGGUGCCGAUUCGAUCUCCUACAAGAAGCCAUACUCCAAAUCCAACAACUCCCAAGAUGCCUCCUCCUCAGAGCCACUGCCCUGUGUUAGAACUUGAGGGAAAGAAAUGGAGAGUGGAAUACCAGGAGGACAAGAAUGACCUUUUAAUUACUGACACUGAACUCAAGCAAGUAGCUUACAUUUUCAAGUGCAACAAAUCUACCUUACAGAUAAAAGGAAAAAUAAAUUCCAUUACGGUUGACAACUGCAGAAAGUUUGGUCUCGUAUUUGUCAAUGUUGUGGGUAUUGUUGAAGUGAUCAAUUCCAGGGAUAUUCAGAUUCAGGUACUAGGGAAGGUGCCAACCAUUUCAAUUAACAAGACUGAAGGCUGCCAUAUAUACCUCAGUAAGGAAUCAUUAGACUGUGAGAUUGUGAGCGCUAAGUCAUCUGAAAUGAACAUCCUUAUCCCACAGGACGGUGAUUACAACCCUUACAGUUAUCCAGCCUUAUGACUCCAAACAUAAACAUCCGCCAAGAUCCUCAACUUCACUGAUGCAUCUGGGGCACCCCACAAAGGAUACAGGCCAGUUGCUCAUGGAGCUGAUCAAACAGAAAUUGUAGAGCUCCAGCGCAGCUCUCUGCUCUGGAUGGGCAACCAGGCAGCCAUUCAGUAUUCAGCAACAAGGAUGUUCUGCACCCUCAGUGCCAUGCAAACCGCAAGCGAGUCCUAUGACAGCAGUAGUGAGAAGCCAGCUGUUCCUCUGUAGGGUUGCCACCUUUAUGUCCUAGCAGGGUUCGUGUGCCAUUCCAGAAUACAUCACAGGCAGUAAUGUAACAAGAGCAGCAUUAUUUAGCAUGGAGACAGCUGCGCCUGUUCCAUUCUAUUGUGGGUGUUUUCAAAGGCACAGGAGCCCUGUAGAAACGAAAGGGUUGUCAAUCCAAUUCUUCUGUGGUGCCGUCAGUGCAAAAAUGAUAUUGUUCAAUAAAAGCUGUGACUGUU